rnacentral:tRNA from 1 species
GGGGGAAUAGCUCAGUGGUAGAGCAUGUGCUUAGCAUGCACAAGGUCCUGAGUUCAAUCCCCAGUACCUCCA